GCUGACUUCCCUGACUACCUCUACAAAGAACGAAUGACACUGAGUAUAUUGAAACACAGAAGCACUCGGCUACAAUUCCAGCAAACCAGAAGUGGAGGCAGGAGAAUCGGGAGCUCAAGUCCAGCCUGAACUACCAGAUUCUGCUUCAAGGCAUCAGACCACAGCAGAAGGAAGUAUAAAACAAAGCUGCCAGAAUUCAUGGGAAGAGGUGCCUGUGCAAAGACCCUGCUUCCUUGAAUAAAGGAUUGAGUCUUUGUUACUGAUAACUUGGGAAUCAUUGUGGCGUGUGUGGCUUUUCUUGCUAACAGAUACAUGAUGCCAUUGCUGUCAUUGUGUCCUCCCAUUUCUAUUUUACUAUUAAGACAAAUAUUUAAGGCGCCAUAUGAAUUGAUGACUAAGUUUCUAAUAGAAUUGGGAGGUAAUUGUAGCAUAAGUCUGACCUCUUCCAGAAGAAAGGUGAAACCAGUCUUUGGAAGAAACUACAGGGCUGAAAUGUGCAUUGGAUCUUGGCUGUGCACAAUACCUAGGCUUCCAGGCACUAAGGACCUCUGCCCACC
rnacentral:lncRNA from 1 species